GGGUGGGAACUUCCGGUGGGAACCGGAAAAGGAAAAGCUGGACAAGGCCUCAGCUGGGCGUGAACUUCCUGCAGAGGUUUGGAUCAUGCCGGUCCUGUCUUGAAACAUGGUGUAUGCUGCGUUUGUGAUGGCUACACUUUGAACUGUCAGCCUGAGUGGAUGCGGGAGCAGCCAGGCCCCCAGGAACGCACAGCUCUAGCCAUGUCUGCUGUGGCCAUUCAAGAGCUCAUUAGAUCACAAGGGCUCUGAUCUAAUGAAUCUGAUUGGUCACUGAUGAACUCAUAACAGCAUUAUGGAGAGAUGGUAAGAGGUACAGGGAUCUUCCUGACUUGCAAACUGAGACAGCCUCAUUCCAUCAGAGCCUCGAAAGCUGCAGUGUCCACCUCCUGAGCCUUCCUGCCACCACGGUCCAACUCUCGAAGCUUCCUGCUGUGGCAACCAUUUCUAAUGUGCCAGCUUUUCUGGCCUGGUCACAGCAUCCAUAUCGCUCACUAGAUAUGGACCACAGGGACUUGGACAUGCUCAAGAGGAGCAGCUGCACCUUCUUGAAUCACAAUCCAAGGCCUCUCCCAAUGGCAAGCCAAGACUUCAAACAGAGGAUCUCUCUGGGGCCAUCUGGAGCUAGAAGCUAGAGACAGAAUUUAUUCCUGGAGACCCAGAGAACCAGGCCAGACAGAGUCUCUCACUGAGGCAUGGAAUUCACCAGUUAGUCAAGACUGACUGCCACUGACCUCUGAAGAACAUCCCUGCUCUCUCUGACAAGCUCUGGGGUCUUAAGUGCCUGUCACCAUGCCUGCCUUCUCACGUGGGUACAGGGAUUGGAACCUGGGUUAUCAUUCCUACAUGGCAAGCACUUCACCAACUGAGUAUUCCCCUCAGUGCCUUCCAAGGCUUUGAACGUGACAUUUCAGGAAAACAUUUAUUGAGUAAUCCUCAUCAGGCUGGGCACAGAUCUCUUGACAAAGUAAGAAUGCUAAUAACAUUAUUUGGGACUCCA